GACGAACGCUGGCGGCGUGCUUAACACAUGCAAGUCGAACGAAAAGAGGGAAAGAGCUUGCUCUUUCCGGAAUUGAGUGGCAAACGGGUGAGUAACACGUAAACAACCUGCCUUCAGGAUGGGGACAACAGACGGAAACGACUGCUAAUACCGAAUAAGUUCCAAGAGCCGCAUGGCCCAUGGAAGAAAAGGUGGCCUCUACCUGUAAGCUAUCGCCUGAAGAGGGGUUUGCGUCUGAUUAGCUGGUUGGAGGGGUAACGGCCCACCAAGGCGACGAUCAGUAGCCGGUCUGAGAGGAUGAACGGCCACACUGGAACUGAGACACGGUCCAGACUCCUACGGGAGGCAGCAGGGGGGAAUCUUCCGCAAUGGGCGAAAGCCUGACGGAGCAACGCCGCGGGAGUGAUGACGGCCUUCGGGUUGUAAAACUCUGUGAUCCGGGACGAAAAGGCAGAGUGCGAAGAACAAACUGCAUUGACGGUACCGGAAAAGCAAGCCACGGCUAACUACGUG
rnacentral:rRNA from 1 species